GAGUUUGAUCCUGGCUCAGAUUGAACGCUGGCGGUAUGCUUAACACAUGCAAGUCGAACGGUAACAGAACUAGCUUGCUAGUUGCUGACGAGUGGCGGACGGGUGAGUAACGCGUAGGAAUCUGCCUGAUAGCGGGGGACAACUCGGAGAAAUCCGAGCUAAUACCGCAUACGCCCUACGGGGGAAAGACGGGGAUCUUCGGACCUGUCACUAUCAGAUGAGCCUGCGUUAGAUUAGCUUGUUGGUAGGGUAAUGGCCUACCAAGGCGACGAUCUAUAACUGGUCUGAGAGGAUGACCAGUCACACUGGGACUGAGACACGGCCCAGACUCCUACGGGAGGCAGCAGUGGGGAAUAUUGGACAAUGGGCGCAAGCCUGAUCCAGCAAUACCGCGUGUGUGAAGAAGGCCUUAGGGUUGUAAAGCACUUUCAAUUGGGAAGAAAAGCAUUCGGUUAAUACCCGAGUGUCUUGACGGUACCUUUACAAGAAGCACCGGCUAACUCCGUGCCAGCAGCCGCGGUAAUAAGGGCGA
rnacentral:rRNA from 1 species